rnacentral:rRNA from 1 species
UACGUAGGUGGCAAGCGUUUGUCCGGAUUUAUUGGGUUUAAAGGGUGCGUAGGCGGUUUCAUAAGUCAGUGGUGAAAUACGGCAGCUCAACUGUCGAGGUGCCAUUGAUACUGUGAGACUUGAGUACAGACGAGGUAGGCGGAAUUGACGGUGUAGCGGUGAAAUGCUUAGAUAUCGUCAAGAACACCGAUAGCGAAGGCAGCUUACUAGGCUGUAACUGACGCUGAGGCACGAAAGUGUGGGGAUCAAACAGG